rnacentral:lncRNA from 1 species
AUUAUAGAACUAAUCUACAUAAAAAAUUGAUCAAUGAAGCAUGUGAUCCAAAAAGCAAGCAUCACAAGCAUGAUCAUUAAGGCGAAAGCAAGCAUAUGGCUCUGAUACCAAUUGUUGAAAUUAGUAGUAGCAGAAACUUACAAAUUAGAUAACCAACGUAUCCAGAAACCAAAAUCGGAUCAGUUGCUUCUUUUACUAGCCUGCUUGAAUUGUCCUUGUCUCGACGCUUUUGAAUCUUCCACGUAACUUUGUGGAUCUUCUAUGUAUCUAUCUUCUCCCAUGCGCGUUGCGGAUUGGAUGCAAAGAGGGCUACCAGAGUCCUCUUCAAUAUCCACACUCCAAAAUCCUGAAAACGUAGGUGGAAAUCCCAGAGAGAGAAGAAUGAAGAAAUCUCUUAUACAUUAGAUUCUCUUAGAUAUAUUAUACGAGAGAAAAGGGAACGUAUUUAUAGAAUAUCGAAACCUCCUAAAAUAUCCUGAAUCUCAUAUAGAGAUUAGGAUUAGGAUUAUGGUUAGGGUUAGGAUAUCUAUUAAGAUAUAAUAGAUAUCCAUCAUGAGAUACGUUUCUUAAUUAAUAAGAAACGUAUAA